GAUGAACGCUGGCGGCGUGCCUAAUACAUGCAAGUCGAGCGAACAGAUGAGGAGCUUGCUCCUCUGACGUUAGCGGCGGACGGGUGAGUAACACGUGGAUAACCUACCUAUAAGACUGGGAUAACUUCGGGAAACCGGAGCUAAUACCGGAUAAUAUAUUGAACCUCAUGGUUCAAUAGUGAAAGACGGUUUUGCUGUCACUUAUAGAUGGAUCCGCGCCGCAUUCGCUAGUUGGUAAGGUAACGGCUUACCAAGGCAACGAUGCGUAGCCGACCGGAGAGGGUGGUAGACCACCUGGUAUGAGAGCAAGGGCCGCGACCUCGGGGGGGGGACGCGGUCGGAAAUCUUCCGGGAGGGGGGAAUGCCGGAUGGCGCAAAGCCGGGGGAGUGAUGAAGGUCUCAGGACCGGAAAACGAUGUUAUUAGUAAAAAACAAAAAUUCUUUUACCGAGGACGAUCUUGACGGUACCUAAUCAAAAAGCCCCGGCUAACUACGUG
rnacentral:rRNA from 1 species